GCCAAGAUCACCCCACUGUACUCCAGCCUGAUAGAGUGACACUCUGUCUCAAAAAACUGAAUUAGCCAGGCAUGGUGGCGUGCCCCAAUAGUCUCAGCUACUCAGGAGGCUGAGUAGGGAGGGCUGCUUCAGCCUCAUAAGUCAAGGCUGCAGUAAGCCAUGAUCAUGCCACUUUAUUCUAGUUUGAGUGACACAGCGAGACCCUGUCAAGAAAAAAAAAUAACCUGUGUUCUAAUGGAGGGUUGUCUGUUACUCACCAGAUGAAUGAAUCUCAGGUUUUUUUAGGGGUAACAAGUCCGGCACCCCAGAUGGGACCCAGCGUUGAGCCCUGACUUGACCUCCCUUAUAGGCUCCUGGCAGGCAAAGCAGUGGGCUGUGGAAGCAUGCCUGGGCCAACUCAUCUCGGUUGCCAAGAGGGAGACUAGAGAAAGGCCUUGGGACCCCCGAACUGGUGUCUAGUGUAGGCCACUAACCAGCACCACAAGAUCUCUCUGGGAGAGUAGAAGUGGCUGCCUAGAGUCCAGACCUUUUGCUCAGUGCUCCUUCGAAGCAGCAGCUCCAUGAACUACUAAAAGAGUGGUCUGGGUUUUGAUCAUUCGGAUUCUGGGUUGUCAGGAUUAGGACCUAGGUCAAGGGAUCCAGGAUUGUUGAGGAGAAGAACUUCCUCCUUUCAGGUCUGGGAGUCAGAGACAUCGCCAUCGUUUUAACAAGGGGAAUCCCCAACAUAAAGACAAGGAUGCUUGUCUUUAGUUGAUCCCUAUCUGGUAUGACUGUAGGGCUCGAUAUUCUUCCUUGUCUGUGGCCUGAAUGAAUAUGAAGUCUGGAUUCCUCUACCCUUAGUUUGUGGCAACCCCUAAAAUAUCAGGCUUUGUUUUGCAAGCAGUCACAGAAGGACUGCUAUUGGUUUGAUGAGGAGACCAACUUUCAAAGGGGGGCAGUUUUGGUGGGAUCAUGAUCCCUGGAACCAGAAUGCAGUGAUACAAAGGUGAUGUGAACAGAGUGUGUGCGCUUUCUCUGAGGAAACACCUCACUUGAUUGAUUUACCUACCUCCCCACCACCUGAGCUGGAUCCAGAACUACUUCAGUGUCUCCAUGAGAUCUCCUGGGAGGCUGCCCGGACUGAACAUGAUCCAGGGAAAGGAAAUCACUGUUACACUCUCAGCUCCCCAGGACCUCCACUCCAGAUGGCUUUGCAUAGUGGCAAGCAAAGAGGACCACAAGUAUUCAAGCUGAGUUGUGGGAUUUGUGUUAUCAUUAAUCUCCAGAGUUUGGAAGCCCCUCAAACUCUGUGCAGAGACCCUAGGAUGUGGUGAACCAGGUCUUGGAAGGAGAGCUUGUUAGGGUGCCUCCUCUGGCAAUGGAAACUGCCUAUCAGCUCAUGACCAAAAAGCAAAUGAUAUAUUACUGUAAUAGAGCCUGGCCCCAGUAUUCCCUAGGCGAUCAGAAGAGAUGGUCUGAACAUGGGUCACUUACUACAAUUCUCCAAUUGGACUGACUUUGCAAGAAAUACGGUAAAUGGGAAGAAAUACCCUAUAUGCAAUGUUUUAUGGCCCUCUAUCAAAACCCUGCCCUGCAGAUGAAAUGCAGAAUAUGUAAAUUGGCCAAAGGGAACUAUACUGCCAAUUCUAGAAGCCUCUGGAGAGGAAGCACCGGUCAUGUGGGGGCCUGUAGGAAAGGGAACAAGAAGAGUCCCUUUAUUUCCCUCUCCAAGAGAAGUGAGGCCCUCUAACUCUACUCGGGGCCUGGUACCUUGACCAAUACAGGGGAAUAGUCCACCUUCUUCCUUGGGAAUGGUGCUCUCAGCACCUCCAGGGGAAAGCAAGGGCCCGUUAUGUAUUUGCUGGGCCUUCCAAACUCUGCAGAGCCAGCAAUGGCUCCUGCUAUGGCAAUAGCAGCCUCCCCCCACCCCCCGCUGUACUCUUCUUUGCCAGGGAGCACCACUCAUAGUGGGAAUGCAUAUAACCCUGGAGGGUGACUGUUCCCACUCAGAGCGUGUCUGUUGGAGAAAGAGGUUUUGCUCGGGUCUAUGUUUUUUAAAACUGUUGACUUGUAUAACUGGAAAUCCCAUAGUAAGGGCUUACGGGUGAGCCCACAAGAGUUCAUAACUCGCAUAUGGAGAAUAUUCUCCACACAUAACCCUGCCUGGCCAGGUGUGCAGACCUUAACAGCAACCCUGCUCACAGCAGAAGAUAAAUCUGCCACCAUGGCCAAAACUGAGGAGGAGGCAGACAAUAUGUGUGCUGAUAACCUGGUGACCUGUCCUGUUGAGGUGUCGGUCCCAAUAGCUAACCCAAACUGGGACCCCAAUGAUGACAAGAAUCAAGAGUGGCUUCAUCAUUAUAGGAAUAUGCUUCUCAGAAGUAUGAGAGAAGCAAGCCAGCCCCUGGUCAAUUGGGGAAAUCUCAGAGAAACAGAACAAGGCCCUAAUGAAAAUCCAUCAGCAUUCCUAAAUUGAUAAUAAGAAUGCCUCCAGAAUUACACCCCUUGGGACCCAGAUGACCCAAAAGCUGAGUAGUACUUUAAUCCCACUUCAUCUCUCAGCCCCAGAUAUUCAGAGAAAACUCUAAAAAUUGGCAAUAAGUCCACACACUCCCCCUUUCCAACUGGUAGACAUCUCCUUUAAGGUCUACAGUAAAGAGAUGUGGCAACUGAUGAAAAA